CGAACGGGUGAGUAAUGCGUGACCAACCUGCCCCAUGCUCCAGAAUAGCUCUUGGAAACGGGUGGUAAUGCUGGAUGCUCCAACUUGACGCAUGUCUUGUUGGGAAAGUGUUUAGUGGCAUGGGAUGGGGUCGCGUCCUAUCAGCUUGUAGGCGGGGUAAUGGCCCACCUAGGCUUCGACGGGUAGCCGGCCUGAGAGGGCGGACGGCCACAUUGGGACUGAGAUACGGCCCAGACUCCUCGGGAGGCAGCAGGA
rnacentral:rRNA from 1 species